UACGUAGGGCGCAAGCGUUGUCCGGAAUUAUUGGGCGUAAAGAGCUCGUAGGCGGCCUGUUGCGUCCGCUGUGAAAUCCCGGGGCUUAACCCCGGGCUUGCAGUGGAUACUGGCAGACUUGAGGAGGGUAGAGGAGAGUGGAAUUCCCGGUGUAGUGGUGAUAUGCGUAGAUAUCGGGAGGAACACCAGUGGCGAAGGCGGCUCUCUGGGCCCUACCUGACGCUGAGACGCGAAAGCGUGGGGAGCGAACCGG
rnacentral:rRNA from 1 species